rnacentral:rRNA from 1 species
GACGAACGCUGGCGGCGUGCUUAACACAUGCAAGUCGAACGGAAAGGCCCUGCUUUUGUGGGGUGCUCGAGUGGCGAACGGGUGAGUAACACGUGAGUAACCUGCCCUUGACUUUGGGAUAACUUCAGGAAACUGGGGCUAAUACCGGAUAGGAGCUCCUGCUGCAUGGUGAGGGUUGGAAAGUUUCGGCGGUUGGGGAUGGACUCGCGGCUUAUCAGCUUGUUGGUGGGGUAGUGGCUUACCAAGGCUUUGACGGGUAGCCGGCCUGAGAGGGUGACCGGCCACAUUGGGACUGAGAUACGGCCCAGACUCCUACGGGAGGCAGCAGUGGGGAAUAUUGCACAAUGGGCGGAAGCCUGAUGCAGCAACGCCGCGUGCGGGAUCACGGCCUUCGGGUUGUAAACCGCUUUCGCCUGUGACGAAGCGUGAGUGACGGUAAUGGGUAAAGAAGCACCGGCUAACUACGUG